rnacentral:rRNA from 1 species
UACGUAGGUGGCGAGCGUUAUCCGGAAUUAUUGGGCGUAAAGAGCGCGCAGGUGGUUGAUCAAGUCUGAUGUGAAAGCCCACGGCUUAACCGUGGAGGGUCAUUGGAAACUGGUCGACUUGAGUGCAGAAGAGGGAAGUGGAAUUCCAUGUGUAGCGGUGAAAUGCGUAGAGAUAUGGAGGAACACCAGUGGCGAAGGCGGCUUCCUGGUCUGUAACUGACACUGAGGCGCGAAAGCGUGGGGAGCAAACAGGAUUAGAUA